GCCAGGCACAGUGGCAUUGCCUGUAGUCCCAGCUACUCGGGAGGCUGAGGCUGGAGGAUCGCUUGAGUCCAGGAGUUCUGGGCUGUAAUGCACUAUGCCAAUUGGGUGUCUGCACUAAGUUCAGCAUCAAUAUGAUGACCUCCUGGGAGUGGGGGACCACCAGGUUGCCUAAGAAGGGGUAAACCGGCCCAGGUCAGAAAUGGAGGAGGUCAAAACUCCUGGGCUUAUCAGUAGUGGAAUCUCGCCUGUGAAUAGCCACUGCACUACAGCCUGAGCAACAUAGCGAGACCCCAUCUCUU
ensembl:misc_RNA Metazoa_SRP Metazoan signal recognition particle RNA